UACGGAGGAUGCAAGCGUUAUCCGGAAUGAUUGGGCGUAAAGCGUCCGCAGGUGGCUGUGUAAGUCUGCUGUCAAAGAGCGAAGCUCAACUUCGUAAAGGCAGUGGAAACUACACGGCUAGAGUGCGUUCGGGGCAGAGGGAAUUCCUGGUGUAGCGGUGAGAUGCGUAGAGAUCAGGAAGAACACCGGUGGCGAAGGCGCUCUGCUAGGCCGCAACUGACACUGAGGGACGAAAGCUAGGGGAGCGAAUGGG
rnacentral:rRNA from 1 species